UACGUAGGGGGCAAGCGUUAUCCGGAUUUACUGGGUGUAAAGGGAGCGUAGACGGCAUAGUAAGUCUGAUGUGAAAGGCGGGGGCUCAACCCCUGGACUGCAUUGGAAACUAUUAAGCUGGAGUGUCGGAGAGGUAAGUGGAAUUCCUAGUGUAGCGGUGAAAUGCGUAGAUAUUAGGAGGAACACCAGUGGCGAAGGCGGCUUACUGGACGAUCACUGACGUUGAGGCUCGAAAGCGUGGGGAGCAAACAGG
rnacentral:rRNA from 2 species